rnacentral:rRNA from 1 species
UACAGAGGGGGCGAGCGUUGUUCGGAAUUACUGGGCGUAAAGGGCGCGUAGGCGGCCCGCUAAGUCGAACGUGAAAUCCCCAGGCUCAACCUGGGAACUGCGUCCGAUACUGGCAGGCUUGAAUCCGGGGGAGGGAUGUGGAAUUCCAGGUGUAGCGGUGGAAUGCGCAGAUAUCAGGAGGAACACCAAUGGCGAAGGCAGCUCUCUGGUACAUGAUUGACGCUGAGACGCGAAAGCGUGGGGAGCGAACAGG